UACGUAGGUGGCAAGCGUUGUCCGGAUUUACUGGGCGUAAAGAGCUCGUAGGCGGUUUGUCGCGUCUGCUGUGAAAACCCGAGGCUCAACCUCGGGCCUGCAGUGGGUACGGGCAAACUAGAGUGCGGUAGGGGAGAAUGGAAUUCCUGGUGUAGCGGUGGAAUGCGCAGAUAUCAGGAGGAACACCGAUGGCGAAGGCAGUUCUCUGGGCCGUAACUGACGCUGAGGAGCGAAAGCGUGGGGAGCGAACAGG
rnacentral:rRNA from 1 species